UGGGGCUGGGCUGGGCUGGGCUCGCGUUGGGCUCGGCCUGAGCUCCCGCCGGGCUCGGGCUGGGCGCGGGCUCAGGCUCGGGGUGUCUCCGGGUUGAUGUUCCCCGAGAUUCUCCUCGGGGUGGCCGUUCCCCGAGGUGGUGAAAUCUUCCCCCAGGGUUGCUGUUCCCUGGGUAUUUCCCUGGGGUUGCUGUUCCCCAAGAUAAUAAGGUUUUCUGUCUUCUCUUUGCCCUGAGCGUUUCACACCGAAGGCAGAGACGACACUGUGGGUCCAGCAGCUGAAGUUAUCAAGGAGGGAAGCGGAAAUCGUGACACUGCGGAAACGUGAAAAAAAAGUUUCAGCAUCCCCAGCUGUGGGGGACGGCCCCAGCGCCCGCCCCAGCCCCGGGACAAUGGAGCUGGGCCGCCACCUCCGCCUGUCCUGUGCUGCUGGAGCGACACCAGGGAGCCGGGGGGCUUCUGUCCCCGCCACUCUGAACACACCAAGCACAGAACCACCGGGCGCCUGGGGCUCCAAGGGGCCGCUGCAGGUAACCCAGGCCAAACCCCGCUCAAGGCUGAAAUUUCAGGAUUCAAAUGCCUCGGCGAAUGCUUUAACAUGCAAUUCACAUGGCCCAACAAAAUCUUUCCGAAGCAUGGUUACUGGGUCAUUACAUUUUUACUUUUCUUUAAAAUGUACAUUACUUUAAUGUACUUUUUUACACUUAGUAAAUAAAUAAGAUUAAUGCGCUUAA